AGUGUCACGAAAAUAGAAAUCUUCCUCACGUGUCAUACACAAGUGGACCACUAUAUACAUUUUAGUAAAAAUCCUAGAACAUCAACAUACUUACUCUCCUAAGAUGAAUGUGUCCUCCUGGCUUUAUAAUAAGCGGCGGCAGUGGGGUGGGGAGGCGCGGGGGCGCACCACGACCGGUUCCUGCCGCCGACCAAUGAGCGGCGGCGUCACGACGGGCAGCUGUACGCCUGUGGUGGCGGCCCCGGCGCGCCGCGUCAUACCUGCCUCGCUGCCGCUCGUGGUUUACUCACAUGCCGCAAAGCUUUUUCAUCCUUUCAUAGUAUAUUGAAUGAAACUACCUUUGAUUACUAAUAUACCGACUCAUUAUUUACUAGAAAUGAUGGUAGAUUCAUGCUUGAUAGAGAAUAAUUGACGUUUCAUGUUAUAAAAUCAGGUUACGACAUACCUAUUUGUAUGUGUUCGCUUGGUAUUUUCUACCAUGUAAAUGGAUACACGCAUACCUUACACAUUUAGUUCAUUGUACCUACCUAUCUACUAUGAAUUACAAUUAUUUGUGUAACAUAUAAGUUAUAUAUCGAAACCUCAGGUUGAUGCCAUUCAGCUGCUUAAACGAAUGGCUAUGAACUAGAUGCUUUCAGGUCUGGGUCAAGUAAAUGCCUAUAUUCCCUUAAAUUCUUAUAUGUUACCUUGUUGUUUGAUCAAUAUUGCCAUGCCAACCACUAGUGCAGAUAAACUCACGUUUAACAAAUUUUGAUAUCUGCUAUAUGCUGCAUGAUAAUGGCAUAGAUAACAAUGUGGUACGGCAGUGCAGCAAACGUUCAUAAUUUGAAUUAUAGUUUGACCUGAAUCUGUUUUAUAAUAAUUUUAUACUAAUUCGUUACUUUAUUUUAUUUUCGUUUUAUUUAUUUCUAUUUUUUUUUAUUAAGUUUUAUUUUAUAUUAUAUAUCUAUUACAUUUUAGUUAUGUAUUUAUUAAGCUAUACAUAGACAGAUAUGGUGCAUACAUAGAUUAUGCAUCAAAUUUUAUUUAAACCUGUUAAUUUUGUGAGUAUACAACAAACAAACAUUUUAACGAAUUUUCUCAAUUAUAACUACAUAGGAUUUCCACUACUAGACAUUAUUUUUAAAGUCGAGCAAACUCAUGGAUAACACAGAAUAUACUUUUAUGUCUUUUUGUUAAUAAAUACAUAAUGUAAAAACAUAAUUUUAUGAUUGACAGCAAAGCUCAUAACGCUCCUCGUGCAUUCCAGAAGGCUAAUAUGUAUAUCUAAAAAUGUUGAAGUUUCAUUAUUUUUAAUAAAUUAAUACAUUUUUUAAUGUAACAAAUAUUUGAAAGUAAUGAAAUAAAAAAUCAAAUCGUAGAAAUACAUAUAUAUGUGUAGGUAUUUACAUGUAAUAUCUCUGUAUUAUUAUAUAGUAUUUACAUGAUAAAUAUCUGAUUAAUUAAUUUUAUAGAUAUAACGUUUAAAUAAUGAAUAAAAACAUCUAAAAUCUUA